rnacentral:lncRNA from 1 species
AUUAUUUGGGAAAACCUCAGUUACAAAACACCCUUUAUUUUUUAUAUAUUUUCCAAUACAUUCCGGUAGAUGCGGAGUUUUGUGGUAUAGUAGUGAACAUGCACGUGCGACACAUGUCUGGUAAGACAGGCAACAUCAUAUUAUUGUAAAGGGAAAACUGGUAUUGUAGAAUGUAUCACAAAAUUUAGAACUCAAAUAUAAAGUGUGAUGGCAAAUCAAGCAUAAUUACAUGGCAGAAAUCUACAAGAGUUACCAGAUC